rnacentral:lncRNA from 1 species
AUGAAUUGCUGCAGGACAUCAGAGGUGCUACACAACUUCGGGAUGUCCUACAGCCCCACUGCCUUCCUACAAACGUGUCCUGCUGGGGUGGGUCAGGCCACCAUCUCCCAGGCUCCUGGGGCCAACAGACCCCCCAACCCCAACCCCCCCUUCCCGUGGGUAAUUUGGCCCCAGAGCGGCGGUGAUGGAGCACGCUGGGGCCGUGGGGAGGUGAGGACUGGAAGGAGGAUGGAGCUGGGGGAGGUGGCGAGGAGCAGGAUUCCCCUCCCCGAGACCACGAGCUGCAGCGACAUCUCAGCGUGGUUUGGUUUUAGUGUCUCCUUCUCUUUCUCUGUCUCUUUUUUUGCAGCAAAGACACACGUAACACAUACACAGGAGGCGUCCUGCGGACUGGUUUCAUACUGGUCUUCUCUCUUCCCCAGGGCCAGGAGAAGAGCAUCCUGGUGCAGGACAGAGGCUGCGGCACCGGGUUUGUGCCCAGGGCUGGGACACUUCUCAGGGUCCCACACUCCUCGGGGUCCCUAUCCCCUCCACGGGACCUGUCGGAGCCUGGUUCACUCCUUCCACCCACCUCGUCUGGGGCUUUGUGGGUGUUGGCGGUGGGCAGCAGCGCUGUUGGCACCAGGAGGGGCUCCAAUCCCUUUCCCACUUUUCCAGCCCCAUGCAUCUGAAGAGGGCUGGGAGCUUUUGGGGAAGCUCUGGGACUUCUGGUACCGAUGCAGGACCCUUGGUGUCACGUUGGAGCCACAUCCAGCCUCUGCCUGCUCGAAAGCCUUGAGUGGAGCUGGGAUGCAGAGCCUGGACCCCAUCCAACCUGAACAUGGACCUUUGCAUAAGAGGUCUGGAGAGCUGAAGGCUCUGGCCUGGAGAAGAUACCCCACACUGUGUCCCACCAGCUCUGGUCGUGUCCUAGCCCCAUCCCAGGCUGCCUUUAACCUUGGGUUUCACCUCGGUGGCCUCUUUGCAUUCUUGCACACCGGGCAGCGUUGCCUGCUCCUCUUUGAUCUGGUCUCCCAAGCGCCACGGUAA